CUGGAACAUCCAGCACCCAGGAAAGGGCACAACACAAACGUUGUUCAUUGUGUUCGCAUGCUCUUCACCCUGCUCCUGCCCACUCUGCUUUUCACCUGCCCCCUGAUAACCCAUUCAGUCCUGAAAGGUCCUUAGUGCCUGGAUUUUGUCAUCCAGCCCUGCAGGAUGCUCCCAUUUGUCCUGAGGAAGGCUGUCCCAGACAGAGAGGAGGAGAUGGAGGUGGAUACAAAGAUUGACAUGGAGGAUGAGAUGGAAAUAGACGGAGAAGACCCUGGAGAGGAAGAGAUGGAUGUGGAUGUGGAUGUGGAUGUGGAUGUGGAUGAAGAAGAAGAGAUGGACAUGGAUAUGGAAGAGUCCAUUGAGGACAUGGAUAUUGAUUAAGAAGGUGCAAUGGACAUCACCGACAGAGACACCACCCUUUUGUAUAUAUGUUCUACACUUAGUUGUUGUUCUUUAGAAUGUAGAUUGUCAGGCUAUUUUUGACUUCUGUAAAUAUGUUUCACAUAGUUUUGCCCAGUAGGUUUUUAUAUAUAUACGUUCUAUCGAUUGUUGUUGUUACAAAUAUUCUUGCAAUGUAAAUAUCUUCUGUAUUUUUGCUGCUGUUCUUCUGUAAUAAACAAAUUUUAUUUUUCACACCCCAUUUCUCCUCGCAUUUGCUUC